rnacentral:tRNA from 1 species
UCCGCAUUGGUCCAGAGGUUAGGAUUCCUCGCUUUCACCGAGGCGGCCGGGGUUCGAUUCCCCGAUGCGGAG